UACGUAGGGUGCAAGCGUUAAUCGGAAUUACUGGGCGUAAAGCGUGCGCAGGCGGUUUUGUAAGUCUGUCGUGAAAUCCCCCGGGCUCAACCUGGGAAUUGCGAUGGAGACUGCAAGGCUAGAAUCUGGCAGAGGGGGGUAGAAUUCCACGUGUGAGCAGUUGAAAUGCGUAGAGAUAGUGGGAGGAACACCGAUGGCGAAGGCAGCCCCCCUGGGUCAAGAUUGACGCU
rnacentral:rRNA from 1 species